AGACGAGGUGACGGACAGUCUACACUCUGGGCUCAGGGCACGGUUUCCUCACCAAUGUUAUAUUCCGCUCAGCCACAAUUUUGCACGGAAGAGCUGGGAAUGGCAACUUACAACAUAAUGAAAGGGCGCUGCGUACAAUGAGCCGGAGAAUGGAGGCUGCAGAAUGGAGGCACGAUGGAGGAAUGCGCCUCAAUAAACCAAAUGAUGACAUGAUGACUGCGCUCACCAUGGUAAGCGGGUGCACGGAGGAUAUUUUCUGUGCGUUCACGCAGCCUAUGCACGUGCGCGCCUUACUCGUACGUGAGGCGGUUUCAGAGGCCGCAUUGUCCUCGUGAAUGCUCCGACGAGCCUCUCAACGGGAUGGAAACCCACGCGCUGCUGCAACCCACGCGCACACACGCAUACACGCACGAGCGCAAAGCAUCCACAAGUGCACGUCUGCAUCCACAGACACACAGUGCAGAGCGCCGCUCCUGCAGAGGCGGCGGCCAGCGGUCCGCUCUACGGCGGCCCUCACGGGAGGACAA
ensembl:lncRNA